AAAACAUUUUCUGGAAAGAAAAAUACAGUCUUCAAACCAGAGAGAUUUCAGCUUGGCUUAUGUCCAAUCCUUAUUCCUUUCCUUUGUACACAGUAAGAGGAGUUGGGAAUGGAUUAUUGCUGUGCUAAAGGCUUCCUGAAGUUCACACCAUCAUCACCAGCAAGACUGCAUGUGAGUCCUACCAAAAUUUCUGCAGAAUCCUAUCAAGGGAGAACAUGUGUCCCUUUAAAAAUCCACUUUCAGUUGCAUUUUCUAGUAUUGUGAUGUAAAAUGUUCUUUGUUUUCCUGGAACAGGAAUAGUUCAGAUGUUUGAGGGCCAUGAAAGGGAAUGAACUGUACUUGUACUGUACAAGAUGGACAGAGUUGCCCUUACAUGGUUACAUUGCACCAAGUCGUGAAAUUCUUUGCUGUUACUUAUGAGGACUUGGCAGUGGCAUCCUAAAGACAUCUGAUUUAACUGGGGCUAUUUUAGUGUCUUUGGCCAAAAUUCUGCUGCUCAGACAAGAGCCUGAAACUCCUGAAAACACCUGGGAGCUUGGUAGGAGUUUGUAGAUGUCUCCUAAUACUGAUUUUUCUUUCUAAGCCUUGACAUUCUAAUGAAGUUCACAGUGCUAGAAAGCUGUCUCAGUGUGUCUGAGCUGUGAGCCUGUUGUGAUCAGAGCCUGGGUUAGGAGGUCACUGCUGCUCCUGUCACCAUGGGCAGAGUUCACAGCUCUGAGAACAUCAGCCCUGCUCCAGGUGUCAAACAGGCACAGCCCUGCCAGGCCUGGGAGGGAACGAGAGGCAAAAGUGCUCCCCUGGCACUGCUCAUGGUUCUCUGCACCGAGACUGAGACUCAGGGGAGGGGUAAAAAAGGCUAAGUCUCCUUUUCCUCCGUGUGUGUUUUGAGUUUUUGGAGCAGAGCUGUCUCCAGUGCUCCCUACAGAAGAGAACAUGGGACAGCUCUGUGGGAUAUAGUUUAUUUUCCCAAAGCACAUGCUGUUGUUGGAGGCAGCUGAAAGCCUACCUAGAGGACUGAGAUAAUCUAGUUCCACUAGAUUUGGCAGCAGUUCUGUUUUCCAGUUGGAUGUUAUGGAGAGCUGUCUAUUCCCAGCUCCUGUUUUGUUUAAUUGCUGUCACUCUGAGUAAAUCACAGAGAUAAAUAUACCUCUGCUGCAAACAUUACUUUAAGCAGGUUAAGGGCUGUUUGGAUUUUAGUUAAUUUAUUUAUGGCUGUUUGUGUUGAGGCAUCCCUAGGGAGGCAGCUUCCCUGUACGUAUGUUGGACUAAUCAACCAUGGAAAAAAAAAA